GACGGAGGAUGCAAGCGUUAUCCGGAAUGAUUGGGCGUAAAGGGUGCGUAGGCGGUUUGAUAAGUCUAAGGUGAAAGUUCGGAGCUUAACUCCGGAUUGCCUUAGAAACUGUCAGACUAGAGUGCAGGAGAGGGCAAUGGAAUUCCAUGUGUAGCGGUAAAAUGCGUAGAUAUAUGGAGGAACACCAGUGGCGAAGGCGGUUGCCUGGCCUGUAACUGACGCUGAAGCACGAAAGCGUGGGGAGCAAAUAGG
rnacentral:rRNA from 1 species